AAGCUGUAACGACAAAAAGAGAACGAGUCAACAUGCAGGAGUAUUGCGUUACCAGUGAUCUCUCAGAAGAAUCUUGGCCUCUUUCCAUUUUCCCUGCUCUUCAAAAAGUUGAGGCGGGA
rnacentral:ribozyme from 1 species